AGAGGAGAAGGUGCCAUUGAUUCUGUGUGCUGUGUUGUGAGUGCUGCUGCAGGAAGCUGCAGAGAGCAUGGACAAGCUGGGAACCCACAACAUGAAUGCAGUGACCUAUGAUGAUGUGCAUGUUGGCUUCACUUGGGAAGAGUGGACUUUGCUGGAUCCUUUCCAGAGGAAUCUCUACAAAGAUGUGAUGCUGGACACCUACUGGAACCUUGCUACUAUAGGGUACAGUUGGAGAGACAAUACUACUGAUGAACAUUUUCAAAGUUCCAGAAGACAUGAAAGGUAAUUGUCUUGUGCAAAUUGAUAAAAAUGCCCCUGUGAAGAAAUUGUAAUGUGUUCUGGAAGUAUUAAACAAAUGCAACAGUGUAAAUAA